GAUGAAGAACGCAGCGAAAUGCGAUACGUAAUGUGAAUUGCAGAAUUCAGUGAAUCAUCGAAUCUUUGAACGCACAUUGCGCCCGCCAGCACUCUCGCGGGCAUGCCUGUUCGAGCGUCAUUUCAACCAUCAAGCCCCAGGCUUGCGUUGGAGCCCUGCGGCUGCCGCAGCCUCCUAAAAGCAGUGGCGGGCUCGCUAUCACACCGAGUGCAGUAGAUUACUCUUCGCUCAGGGCGUGCAGCGGGUUCCGGCCGUGAAACCCCCUACUUUUAAAGGUUGACCUCGGAUCAGGUAGGAAUACCCGCUGAACUUAAGCAUAUCAAUAAGCGGAGGA
rnacentral:misc_RNA from 1 species